AGCUUUCCCGUAUAACUUUCCUAUUGACCAAUGGAGGCUCCAUCUUCAGGCCGCCACCACGUCUGCCUACGGAUGCCCUCGAUCCUUCUGGUCGACCAACCUCCUCCUCUCCUCCCCUACAUGACUCCACCGCCAUGAAAUCUUCUUGGAUUUAGCUCACAAGAUCAUCCAUACAUGAUCUUGCUGUAGCCGCUCCUUCCAUACAUGAUUAGCUGCACCGCCUGGGCGACCGACACGAUCCAGCGGACAUGGAGAUCCGUGGAGAAAAAGAUGCUACGAUUAUGAUGGCAGUGAUUUCCCAUGGAUGAACGACCGGUUUGAUCUAGCGGAUAUGAAGAUCCAGACAUAGCAACAUGUAUGUUUGGCCCGCAGCGGGAAGUUUCUUGAUUCUUUACACCAUCAGGUCUGCAGCCGCUCAGCGUCAGAUAAACAGAUAUUGCACACGCGCAUGUGAUCGAGCAAGGCACAGCUUCAACUUAAUUAGAUCUACGAGAAUCUAUGUGGAGCACCUAGCGUGUUUUUCUUGGUGUGACGUGCAUGGACAUGUUGCUGAAGGAGAACAAAAGGGAAAGCACACGUGGGCAAGUGAGCAGCUCAGUGUCGACAGUCUGCCUUGGUCUUUCCACAUCCUAGAGAAAACGGUUUUGGCAUGUCGCCAAUGACAGUCCUCAAGUUCAUUCUACUGGCUGCAACCUUCUCCUCGACAAUGGACAGGUAACGGCAGGUUGAUGCUUGCCUAGCCACAACUGGUACUGUGAACAAUGGCUCGAAUACGAUUUACCCUUAACCAUCACAUGUCCAUAUAUUCAUAGAUGAUUACUUAUUUUUGUAUAUGUUGACACCUGCAAGAUGAUAUUAAGUUCAACACAUGCAAACUGCUAAUGUUCAGUAUUAGUAGCAGGGCAGCAAAGUUCUUCUGGCAUCGAGACUACAGAAAUGAACCAAACGUCGAGGCCAGAUGCAGCGGCUUAUAGUUUUCAUUGUUUUUGAUUAUGUAAUGUGACAAAAUAUUCAAAAUGCUAUUGUCCGCCAAUAUAUUGCUGUAUGGAAAACUGCUAAACUUUUCAAUUCAGCUCUCUUAUCUUGAGUUUGCAAAGUCAAGUUUGUAUUUUUUUUAUAUACACAGGAUUAUGAAUAUUCAAAAUUUCCAGUGAAUGGUGUUAUGUCUCAGGGAAGGGAUGGAUAACUUCAAGGACAAGUUUGCUGAAAAAUUCCAAACUAAUUACCAAGAUAACAGACUUAACUUACCGGAGAGCAACUACACAUGCAUUGGUAUCAACAAUGUGGCAGCUAAGAAGUCAGAACGGAUGUGACGAGUGUCUAGAUUUCUUCUCGUGCACUAGCAUUGACUAUGCCCCCGCAGUCGAUAAAGGACAUGCAGGAAGCCGGGAACACACACAGUAAGGGAAACUGUGAGGGCACAUGUGACCUGCAUCACCAUCGGAGCUUGGGGCGGGGAACCGUAUAUAAUGUCAUUGUUCACUACCUUCAGAAAGGUCGUGCAGAUGUUAUAGGAGAAAGCAUGGAGCAUUUUUAGCUCCACCACCAUCAACUUGUAUUAGUGCAGACAACUAUACUGUUCUUGGCGGCAAGUUCCAUAGGAAGAAUCGUGAAGGAGGCAGUUGGAGCCUCGAAGUACAACAACAAACUACCAGGGGUGACAACCCAGGACGUACUCCUCUUUAUUGGAAACACCGUGAGUUGUAUCGGGGAGAAAAGGCAGAAAAGAAAUAAAGAGGAAAAAUAUAUUACACAACAGCCCUUGGCUAAAAAGUUUGUACACGUGUGUUCGUAUGACUUUGAUGAGAUCGUUGGUGUGGGCGAAUUCCAACACUCUUGGACGCUUGCUAUCCGUGGCUCCGUGCGCAAGGAAGUUGACUAGGUUGUACUUAUACAUGGCUACACGAGAAAGAUUGGUGACGCAAUCCUAUUUGCAGAAAACAUACAUGUCUUAUAUGUGUUAUUUCCCUAUUAUGCAGCAAUCGUCAAGUAUAUCCAGAUUUGAUUGGAAAAGUAUAUCAUGGUACUUGGAGGUUAAGUAUGUUAUUACAAUCAUUGAUUCUUCCCAUUAUUUCGUUGUAUAGAUCAUCGUGAUUAAAAGCACUUAUUGAUAUUUUUCCCUUAAGCAAAACUGUAACCAAAUCUUUUAUUUUCCAGGGGAAUUAUAACUGAGUCUCUAUAUACAUGCCUGUCGACAAAGAGAUGCCCUUAGAAAAGGACUUAAAUCCUUUUUUUUGCUUCUAAUUACAAUUGUUAGAGGAUCUUAAUUAAUUGCAAUCUGGCAAUGCAUAUAGUUUCAUAUCCUUAGCACAGGAGGAUGUCACUUCUUACAAGAUAGGAAAAAACAAUGCCUAAAGAAAGUU